rnacentral:lncRNA from 1 species
UUUCUUAGUUAAAGAAGAGUAGAUUAGAUGAAUAGGUGAGCUGGUAUAAUGCAGAGGAUAUUCAAUUUCUAUUUUGCCUUUAGAAAAGAAGAAAGGUGUUUAUCCAAGAAACUAGGAGAGAAAACAUUGAUUGCAAUUUGGUGCAGCACGUGAUUUCAACUUCUCUUUCCUUGCUUUUAUAAUUUGUAAUUUGAAUNAAUUACUUUGAAUAGGCAUCACGGUGUAUUGUCCUACAGCAUAUAUAACGUUCAACUUUUAUGAUUCUUGGGAGGAGCAAAUGUUUCUUUCUCUCUUAGCAUGAAGACACGCCGCCACCUAGGAUUAGAUUUUUCUUUNUUUUAAAGUAGAAGCACAUUGUAAUUUCAUUGCUUUGGAAAAGGAAGCACGUUGCCGUUUAGGAUAAGAAGAUGGGUGGUGAUUUAUUUAUUAGGUAAGUAUUUCCAUGAUGCAUUUUAAUUUUAUUUAUUUCAUUUUAAGUAUUUCCAUAUGAUNAAUNGCAUUUUAUUUAUUAGUUAAGUUUUGCUNNUUUUAUUUCAAGUUAUAAUGUGCAUUUAAAUUCUAACUUAGCAAUUUAAUUUCAAGUUCCAUUGUCUUUUAAUUUCACCCCAUGUUGAUUGCAC